GAUGAACGCUAGCUACAGGCUUAACACAUGCAAGUCGAGGGGCAGCAUGAACAUAGCUUGCUAUGUUUGAUGGCGACCGGCGCACGGGUGCGUAACACGUAUCCAAUCUACCCAUGGCUCGGGGAUAGCCUUUCGAAAGAAAGAUUAAUACCCGAUGGUCUCGGUUUAAGGCAUCUUAGACUGAGUAAAGAUUUAUCGGCGAUGGAUGGGGAUGCGUCUGAUUAGGUAGAUGGCGGGGUAACGGCCCACCAUGCCUACGAUCAGUAGGGGUUCUGAGAGGAAGGACCCCCACAUUGGAACUGAGACACGGUCCAAACUCCUACGGGAGGCAGCAGUGAGGAAUAUUGGUGAAUGGACGAGAGUCUGAACCAGCCAAGUAGCGUGAAGGAUGACUGCCCUAUGGGUUGUAAACUUCUUUUGUUUGGGAAUAAAGUUCGGGACGUGUCCCGUUUUGUAUGUACCAUUCGAAUAAGCAUCGGCUAAUUCCGUGCCAGCCGCCGCGGUAAUAC
rnacentral:rRNA from 1 species